rnacentral:rRNA from 1 species
GCCAUCGGGUGAAGCCGGGCACGUCUGGAAGGACUGCCAUCGACAAGAUGGAGGAAGGUGGGGACGACGUCAAGUCAUCAUGGCCCUUAUGUCCAGGGCGACACACGUGCUACAAUGGCCGGCACAACGGGAAGCGAGUUCGCGAGGACGAGCGGAUCCCUUAAAGCCGGUCGCAGUUCGGAUUGAAGUCUGCAACUCGACUUCAUGAAGCUGGAAUCGCUAGUAAUCGCAGAUCAGCCAAGCUGCGGUGAAUACCGUUCCCGGGCCUU